AACGAACGCUGGCGGCAUGCCUAACACAUGCAAGUCGAACGAGACCUUCGGGUCUAGUGGCGCACGGGUGCGUAACGCGUGGGAACCUGCCUUUAGGUUCGGAAUAACUCAGAGAAAUUUGAGCUAAUACCGGAUAAUGUCUUCGGACCAAAGAUUUAUCGCCUUUAGAUGGGCCCGCGUAAGAUUAGCUAGUUGGUGGGUAAAGGCCUACCAAGGCGACGAUCUUUAGCUGGUCUGAGAGGAUGAUCAGCCACACUGGGACUGAGACACGGCCCAGACUCCUACGGGAGGCGGCAGUGGGGAAUAUUGGACAAUGGGCGAAAGCCUGAUCCAGCAAUGCCGCGUGAGUGAUGAAGGCCUUAGGGUUGUAAAAGCUCUUUUACCCGAGAUGAUAAUGACAGUACCGGGAGAAUAAGCUCCGGCUAACUCCGUGCCAGCAGCCGCGGUAAU
rnacentral:rRNA from 1 species